AUAAAAGAAAGUAAAUAAGGGCGCAUGGCGGAUGCCUUGGCUCUCGGAGGCGAUGAAGGACGUGAUAAGCUGCGAUAAGCUUCGGGUAGGUGCAAAUGACCAUUGAUCCGAAGAUUUCCGAAUGGGACAACCCGGCAUUCUGAAGGAAUGUCAUCCAACUUGGUUGGAGGCUAACGCAGGGAACUGAAACAUCUUAGUACCUGCAGGAAAAGAAAAUAAAUAAUGAUUCCCCUAGUAGUGGCGAGCGAACGGGGAUUAGCCCAAACCACCCAUGUUACGGCAUGUGUGGGGUUGUAGGACCACGCUCUCGCAAGACAGUUAUUGAGAAGAAACGACUGGAAAGUCGUGCCAUAGACGGUGAUAGCCCGGUAUUCUAAGGUAACCGAAGCGUAGUGGUAUCCUGAGUAGCGCGGAGCACGAGGAAUUCUGCGUGAAUCAGCCGGGACCAUCCGGUAAGGCUAAAUACUCCCGAGAGACCGAUAGCGAACCAGUACUGUGAAGGAAAGGUGAAAAGCACUUCGAAUAGAAGAGUGAAAUAGUCCCUGAAACCAUGCGCCUACAAGCGGUCGGAGCAGCUUAAGUUGUGACGGCGUGCCUUUUGCAUAAUGAACCUACGAGUUACUUUUUCCGGCAAGGUUAAGCAUCUUGAGAUGUGGAUCCGAAGCGAAAGCGAGUCUGAACAGGGCGGAUAGUCGGAAGGAGUAGACGCGAAACCAAGUGAUCUACCCUUGGGCAGGUUGAAGGUUAGGUAACACUAACUGGAGGACCGAACCGAUAAGCGUUGAAAAGCUUCCGGAUGACCUGAGGGUGGGGGUGAAAGGCUAAUCAAACUUGGAGAUAGCUCGUACUCCCCGAAAUGCAUUUAGGUGCAGCCUUGAGAGUUACUAAUGUGAGGUAGAGCGACUGAUAAGAUGCGAGGGCUUCACCGCCUAUCAAGUCUUGAUAAACUCCGAAUGCGCAUUAGUUCUAUCUCAGGAGUGAGGGCAUGGGUGCUAAGGUCCAUGUCCUAAAGGAGAAGAAUCCAGACCAUCAGCUAAGGUCCCCAAAUAAACACUAAGUUGAACUAACGAAGUCAGAUUGCUAAGACAGCUAGGAUGUUGGCUUGGAAGCAGCCAUUCAUUUAAAGAGUGCGUAACAGCUCACUAGUCGAGGAGUUUGGCGUGGAUAAUAAUCGGGCAU
rnacentral:rRNA from 1 species